UACGGGGGGGGGCAAGCGUUGUUCGGAAUUACUGGGCGUAAAGGGCUCGUAGGCGGCCAACUAAGUCGGACGUGAAAUCCCCAGGCUCAACCUGGGAACUGCGUCCGAUACUGGAUGGCUUGAAUCCGGGAGAGGGAUGCAGAAUUCCAGGUGUAGCGGUGAAAUGCGUAGAUAUCUGGAGGAAUACCGGUGGCGAAGGCGGCAUCCUGGACCGGCAUUGACGCUGAGGCGCGAAAGCGUGGGGAGCAAACAGG
rnacentral:rRNA from 1 species